GGGGUUGUGAGUCAGAGGUAGAGCGCUUGCUUAGCAUGCAUGAGGCACUGGGUUCGAUCCUCAGCACCACA
rnacentral:tRNA from 1 species